rnacentral:rRNA from 1 species
ACGGGAGGCAGCAGUGGGGAAUCUUGCGCAAUGGGCGAAAGCCUGACGCAGCAACGCCGCGUGCGGGAAGAAGGCUUUCGGGCUGUAAACCGCUUUCAGCAGGAACGAAAAUGNCGGUACCUGCAGAAGAAGGAGCGGCCAACUAUGUGCCAGCAGCCGCGGUGAUACAUAGGCUUCAAGCGUUGUCCGGAUUUAUUGGGCGUAAAGAGUUCGUAGGCGGUCGAGUAAGUCGGGUGUGAAAAUUCUGGGCUCAACCCAGAAACGCCACCCGAUACUGCUUAACUUGAGUUCGAUAGGGGAGUGGGGAAUUCCUAGUGUAGCGGUGAAAUGCGCAGAUAUUAGGAGGAACACCGGUGGCGAAGGCGCCACUCUGGAUCGAUACUGACGCUGAGGAACGAAAGCAUGGGUAGCAAACAGGAUUAGAUACCCUGGUAGUCCAUGCCGUAAACGGUGGGCACUAGGUGUGGGAUUCUAUUAACGAAUUCCGCGCCGUCGCUAACGCAUUAAGUGCCCCGCCUGGGGAGUACGGUCGCAAGACUAAAACUCAAAGGAAUUGAC